CCUACGGGCGGCUGCAGUGGGGAAUAUUGCACAAUGGGGGAAACCCUGAUGCAGCGACGCCGCGUGAGUGUAGGUGUCCUUCGUUAUGUAAAGCUCUAUCAGCCGGGAAGAAAAUUACGGUACCUGAGUCAGACGCCCCGGCUAACUACGUGCCAGCCGCCGCGGUCAUACGUAGGGGGCAGGCGUUAUCCGGAUUUACUGGUUGUAACGGGAGCGUAGACGGCAGUGCAAGUCUGGAGUGAAAGGCUGGGGCUAAACGCCCGGACUGCUCUGGAAACUGUACGGCUGGAGUGCAGGAGAGGUAAGAGGAAUUCCUAGUGUAGCGGUGAAAUGCGUAGAUAUUA
rnacentral:rRNA from 1 species